AUUGAACGCUGGCGGCAGGCCUAACACAUGCAAGUCGAACGAGUGGCGGACGGGUGAGUAAUGUAUGGGAAACUGCCCGAUGGAGGGGAAUAACUACUGGAAACGGUAGCUAAUACCGCAUACCAUCGGAUGUGCCCAUAUGGGAUUAGCUAGUAGGUGGGGUAAUGGCUCACCUAGGCGACGAUCCCUAGCUGGUCUGAGAGGAUGAACAGCCACACUGGGACUGAGACACGGUCCAGACUCCUACGGGAGGCAGCAGUGGGGAAUAUUGGACAAUGGGCGCAAGCCUGAUGCAGCCAUGCCGCGUGUAUGAAGAAGGCCUUCGGGUUGUAAAGUACUUUCAGCUGGGAGGCGUUACCCGCAGAAGAAGCACCGGCUAACUCCGUGCCAGCAGCCGCGGUAAUAC
rnacentral:rRNA from 1 species